rnacentral:rRNA from 1 species
AGAGCAUAGGGUGGAUGCCUAGGCACUGAGAGCCGACGAAAGACGUGAUAAGCUGCGAUAAGCUGCGGUAAGGAGCAAAUAUCCAUUGACCCGCAGAUUUCUGAAUGGGGAAACCUACGCAAGAAGACCUUGCGUACUCAUACAUGAAUACAUAGUGUAUGAGAGGGAACCCGGGGAACUGAAACAUCUAAGUACCCGGAGGAAGAGAAAGAAACAUCGAUUUCCUGAGUAGCGGCGAGCGAAAGGGAAAGAGCCCAAACCAGAGGAUUUAUCCUUUGGGGUUAGGACUGCAUAAUUGAUCUGCAAUUGAUAGGAGAACGGUCUGGGAAGUCCGGCGAGAAAGCGUGAAAGCCGCGUAUCCGAAAUCGAAAGCAGCAAGGCAGGAUCCAGAGUACCACGAGACACGAGAAACCUUGUGGGAAUGAGCGGAGACCACUCCGUAAGGCUAAAUACUACUCAGUGACCGAUAGCGCAUAGUACUGUGAAGGAAAGGUGAAAAGGACCCCGGGAGGGGAGUGAAAGAGAACCUGAAACCCUGUGUUUACAAGCUGUCGAAGCACGCAAGUGCGACGGCGUACUUUUUGUAGAACGGUCCGGCGAGUUAUGAUGAGUGGUAAGGUUAAGGACUUAAGGUCCGGAGCCGAAGCGAAAGCGAGUGUUAAAAGCACGGUUGAAUCGCUUAUCAUAGACCCGAAACCGGGUGAUCUAUCCAUGUCCAGGUUGAAGCUGCCGUAAGAGGUAGUGGAGGACCGAACACACAUCCGUUGAAAAGGGUGGUGAUGAGGUGUGGAUAGGGGAGAAAUUCCAAUCGAACCCGGAGAUAGCUGGUUCUCCUCGAAAUAGCUUUAGGGCUAGCCUCUGGUUAGUCUGCCGCAGGUAGAGCACUGAAUUUCCUAGGGGGCGUCAAAGCCUACCGAAGAAUAUCAAACUCCGAAUGCCAUGUAGAUGAUUCUCGGGAGUCAGACUGCACGAGAUAAGUUGGGUGGUCAAAAGGGAAAGAGCCCAGACCUACAGCUAAGGUCCCAAAGUGUGUGUUAAGUGGAAAAGGAUGUGGGAUUUCGAAGACAACUAGGAUGUUGGCUCAGAAGCAGCCACACAUUAAAAGAGUGCGUAAUAGCUCACUAGUCGAGAGGUCCUGCGCCGAAAAUGUCCGGGGCUAAAACACAACACCGAAGCUUAGGAAUUCUAAUGAAUUGGUAGAGGAGCAUUGAAGACGGAACGAAGCCAUACCGAAAGGAAUGGUGGACUGUCUUGAAGAGAGAAUGCCGGAAUGAGUAGCGAGAUUGAAGUGAGAAUCUUCAAGGCCGAAUAUCUAAGGUUUCCAGGGUAAAGCUGAUCUGCCCUGGGUAAGUCGGGGCCUAAGGCAAGGUCGAAAGACGUAGUCGAUGGAUAACAGGUUGAAAUUCCUGUACUGCAUCAAAUCAGAAAUGUGGGGACACAUGAGGGAAGCAUGAGCCGGAAAAGGAAAGUCCGGUACAAGCGCAGCAGAGGACAGAUAGGCAAAUCCGUCUGUCAACUCGAGGGCGCGAUGUGGAGCGAACCAAAGUAGCGAAGCAUGUGGAGCUUGUGUCGAGAAAAGCCGCUAUAGUGUUUGAUGUACCCGUACCGUAAACCGACACAGGUGGAUGAGGAGAGAAUCCUAAGGCCGGCGGGAGAAGCAUUGUUAAGGAACUCGGCAAAAUGACCCCGUAACUUCGGGAGAAGGGGUGCUCUUAGAAAUAAGAGCCGCAGAGAAUUGGCCCAAGCAACUGUUUAGCAAAAACACAGGUCUAUGCAAAACCGAAAGGUGAGGUAUAUGGGCUGACGCCUGCCCGGUGCUGGAAGGUUAAGAGGAGAGGUUAGCGCAAGCGAAGCUUUGAAUUUAAGCCCCAGUAAACGGCGGCCGUAACUAUAACGGUCCUAAGGUAGCGAAAUUCCUUGUCGGGUAAGUUCCGACCCGCACGAAAGGCGUAAUGAUUUGGGCACUGUCUCGACAAUGCACCCGGUGAAAUUGAAAUACCAGUGAAGAUGCUGGUUACCUGCGCCAGGACGGAAAGACCCCAUGGAGCUUUACUCUAGUUUGAUACUGGGAUUCGGUAUUGCAUGUACAGGAUAGGUGGGAGGCUGUGAAGCGAUGACGCCAGUUGUCGCAGAGCCGCUGUUGGGAUACCACCCCUGCAGUACUGGGUUUCUAACCUGCGGCCGUGAACCGGCCGGGGGACAAUGUCUGACGGGGAGUUUGACUGGGGCGGUCGCCUCCGAAAGGGUAUCGGAGGCGCUCAAAGGU